GACGUAGGGCGCGAGCGUUGUCCGGAUUUACUGGGCGUAAAGAGCGUGUAGGCGGCCAAGCAGGUCCGUUGUGAAAACUGGAGGCUUAACCUCCAGACGUCGACGGAAACCGCGUGGCUAGAGUCCGGAAGAGGAGAGUGGAAUUCCUGGUGUAGCGGUGAAAUGCGCAGAUAUCAGGAAGAACACCAAUGGCGAAGGCAGCUCUCUGGGACGGUACUGACGCUGAGACGCGAAAGCGUGGGGAGCGAACAGG
rnacentral:rRNA from 1 species